rnacentral:rRNA from 1 species
AACGAACGCUGGCGGCAGGCUUAACACAUGCAAGUCGAGCGCCCCGCAAGGGGAGCGGCAGACGGGUGAGUAACGCGUGGGAACAUACCCUUUAGUACGGAAUAGCCUCGGGAAACUGGGAUUAAUACCCGUAUACGCCCUACGGGGAAAGAUUAUCGCUAAAGGAUUGGCCCGCGUUGGAUUAGCUAGUUGGUGAGGUAAUGGCUCACCAAGGCGACGAUCUAUAGCUGGUCUGAGAGGAUGAUCAGCCACACUGGGACUGAGACACGGCCCAGACUCCUACGGGAGGCAGCAGUGGGGAAUAUUGGACAAUGGGCGAAAGCCUGAUCCAGCCAUGCCGCGUGAGUGAUGAAGGCCCUAGGGUUGUAAAGCUCUUUCGUCUAGAGAAGAUAAUGACGGUAUCUAGUAAAGAAGCCCGGCUAACUUCGUGCCAGCAGCCGCGGUAAAGUCUGUACU